UACGAAGGGGGCUAGCGUUGCUCGGAAUCACUGGGCGUAAAGCGCACGUAGGCGGAUCUUUAAGUCAGGGGUGAAAUCCUGGAGCUCAACUCCAGAACUGCCUUUGAUACUGGGGAUCUCGAGUCCGGGAGAGGUGAGUGGAACUCCGAGUGUAGAGGUGAAAUUCGUAGAUAUUCGGAAGAACACCAGUGGCGAAGGCGACUCACUGGCCCGAUACUGACGCUGAGGCGCGAAAGCGUGGGGAGCAAACAGG
rnacentral:rRNA from 1 species